GCACAGGCCAAAACCGCCUAAUGAAUAUUAGCAACCAGAUAUUUCCUGGCACACAGUCCACACCAAGUAAAUGUUUGAGCGGCUGUUGAGCUGAAUCAUUGUUUAAUUUUUGUCUUUCCACCACAGGAAGAUCACAGAUUGACAUCAGCAGGAAAACUUGCCAGGCAGCAGGAGGAUCCAUUUGAAAACUCACGAGAAAAAGGCCCUUGAGGCCUUUUUCCUGGUUAUUGAAGACAUCUUAGGAAACACUUAUGGUGACAAUUAAUCAAGCAAAAAUAGAUCCAGUUUUUCUGAAGAUCAAGCUUAACAUGUGUGCCAUGCUUUAAAAUGUCUUUCCAGGCACUCUCUCCUGCCCACGGAUCUUGCUUGGGAAAGGAAUGGGGCAAGUGGAAAUGGCCAUUUCUUAGAUGAACACAUCAGGGACUUGCUCCAGUCUGAAGUCUAUACAGAGCUAGGCUUUGAAUCCAGUCACGUAACGGCAUAGCAGCAAAUCAGCCUUUCAGAAUAUUGCAGGAUCAGC
rnacentral:lncRNA from 1 species